rnacentral:rRNA from 1 species
GGGUGCAAGCGUUAAUCGGAAUUACUGGGCGUAAAGCGCGCGCAGGCGGUUGUGCAAGUCAGGUGUGAAAUCCCCGGGCUUAACCUGGGAACUGCACUUGUGACUGCACAGCUGGAGUACGGCAGAGGGGGAUGGAAUUCCGCGUGUAGCAGUGAAAUGCGUAGAUAUGCGGAGGAACACCAAUGGCGAAGGCAGUCCCCUGGGCCUGUACUGACGCUCAUGCACGAAAGCGUGGGGAGCAAACAGG